rnacentral:misc_RNA from 1 species
AAGUCGUAACAAGGUUUCCGUAGGUGAACCUGCGGAAGGAUCAUUACAGAGUUCAUGCCCUUCGGGGUAGACCUCCCACCCUUUGUAUACCGUGCCUUUGUUGCUUUGGCGGGCCGCCUCGCGGCCACCGGCCCCCGGGCUGGUGCGCGCCCGCCAGAGAAACCCAAACCCUGUUUUACAGUGUCGUCCGAGUACUAUAUAAUAGUUAAAACUUUCAACAACGGAUCUCUUGGUUCUG